UACGAGUGCCUCAAGCGUUAUCCGGAAUCAUUGGGCGUAAAGGGUGUGUAGGUGGUUGUGUUAGUCUCUCGUUAAAUUCUUCGGCUUAACCGGGGGCAUGCGAGGGAAACGGCAUAACUAGAGGAUGGGAGAGGUUUGCGGAACUCAAGGUGUAGGGGUGAAAUCCGUUGAUAUCUUGGGGAACACCAAAAGCGAAGGCAGCAAACUGGCCCACUCCUGACACUGAAACACGAAAGCGUGGGUAGCGAAUGGG
rnacentral:rRNA from 1 species